rnacentral:tRNA from 1 species
UAAAUUGUAGCUAAAGCUAAAGCACUUCAGUUACAUUGAAGGGAUCACCUUGGCCGGUGCUGUUUAA